rnacentral:rRNA from 1 species
AUUUGGUCGUAGACCCGAAACCAGGUGAUCUACCCUUGGUCAGGUUGAAGUUCAGGUAACACUGAAUGGAGGACCGAACCGACUUACGUUGAAAAGUGAGCGGAUGAACUGAGGGUAGCGGAGAAAUUCCAAUCGAACCUGGAGAUAGCUGGUUCUCUCCGAAAUAGCUUUAGGGCUAGCCUCAAGUGAUGAUUAUUGGAGGUAGAGCACUGUUUGGACGAGGGGCCCCUCUCGGGUUACCGAAUUCAGACAAACUCCGAAUGCCAAUUAAUUUAACUUGGGAGUCAGAACAUGGGUGAUAAGGUCCGUGUUCGAAAGGGAAACAGCCCAGACCACCAGCUAAGGUCCCAAAAUAUAUGUUAAGUGGAAAAGGAUGUGGCGUUGCCCAGACAACUAGGAUGUUGGCUUAGAAGCAGCCAUCAUUUAAAGAGUGCGUAAUAGCUCACUAGUCGAGUGACACUGCGCCGAAAAUGUACCGGGGCUAAACAUAUUACCGAAGCUGUGGAUUGUCCUUUGGACAAUGGUAGGAGAGCGUUCUAAGGGCGUUGAAGCAUGAUCGUAAGGACAUGUGGAGCGCUUAGAAGUGAGAAUGCCGGUGUGAGUAGCGAAAGACGGGUGAGAAUCCCGUCCACCGAUUGACUAAGGUUUCCAGAGGAAGGCUCGUCCGCUCUGGGUUAGUCGGGUCCUAAGCUGAGGCCGACAGGCGUAGGCGAUGGAUAACAGGUUGAUAUUCCUGUACCACCUAUAAUCGUUUUAAUCGAUGGGGGGACGCAGUAGGAUAGGCGAAGCGUGCGAUUGGAUUGCACGUCUAAGCAGUAAGGCUGAGUAUUAGGCAAAUCCGGUACUCGUUAAGGCUGAGCUGUGAUGGGGAGAAGACAUUGAGUCUUCGAGUCGUUGAUUUCACACUGCCGAGAAAAGCCUCUAGAUAGAAAAUAGGUGCCCGUACCGCAAACCGACACAGGUAGUCAAGAUGAGAAUUCUAAGGUGAGCGAGCGAACUCUCGUUAAGGAACUCGGCAAAAUGACCCCGUAACUUCGGGAGAAGGGGUGCUCUUUAGGGUUAACGCCCAGAAGAGCCGCAGUGAAUAGGCCCAAGCGACUGUUUAUCAAAAACACAGGUCUCUGCUAAACCGUAAGGUGAUGUAUAGGGGCUGACGCCUGCCCGGUGCUGGAAGGUUAAGAGGAGUGGUUAGCUUCUGCGAAGCUACGAAUCGAAGCCCCAGUAAACGGCGGCCGUAACUAUAACGGUCCUAAGGUAGCGAAAUUCCUUGUCGGGUAAGUUCCGACCCGCACGAAAGGCGUAACGAUUUGGGCACUGUCUCAACGAGAGACUCGGUGAAAUCAUAGUACCUGUGAAGAUGCAGGUUACCCGCGACAGGACGGAAAGACCCCGUGGAGCUUUACUGUAGCCUGAUAUUGAAAUUCGGCACAGCUUGUACAGGAUAGGUAGGAGCCUUUGAAACGUGAGCGCUAGCUUACGUGGAGGCGCUGGUGGGAUACUACCCUAGCUGUGUUGGCUUUCUAACCCGCACCACUUAUCGUGGUGGGAGACAGUGUCAGGCGGGCAGUUUGACUGGGGCGGUCGCCUCCUAAAAGGUAACGGAGGCGCUCAAAGGUUCCCUCAGAAUGGUUGGAAAUCAUUCAUAGAGUGUAAAGGCAUAAGGGAGCUUGACUGCGAGACCUACAAGUCGAGCAGGGUCGAAAGACGGACUUAGUGAUCCGGUGGUUCCGCAUGGAAGGGCCAUCGCUCAACGGAUAAAAGCUACCCCGGGGAUAACAGGCUUAUCUCCCCCAAGAGUUCACAUCGACGGGGAGGUUUGGCACCUCGAUGUCGGCUCAUCGCAUCCUGGGGCUGUAGUCGGUCCCAAGGGUUGGGCUGUUCGCCCAUUAAAGCGGUACGCGAGCUGGGUUCAGAACGUCGUGAGACAGUUCGGUCCCUAUCCGUCGUGGGCGUAGGAAAUUUGAGAGGAGCUGUCCUUAGUACGAGAGGACCGGGAUGGACAUACCUCUGGUGUACCAGUUGUCGUGCCAAC